rnacentral:misc_RNA from 1 species
GAAAGCUCGAGCGAGGUUGUCGCUGGCCCCCCCCCCGGGGGCAACGUGCACGCCUUUGUCUCUGUCCUUCAUCUUCUCACCCCCCUGUGCACCUCUGCGUGGGUCCCCCUCGGGGGGCUCGCGUCAUAUAUCCAUAACGAACGCAUGUAUCGGAACGUAUCGUUUGCUACAGCAGCAAAAACUUGUACAACUUUCAACAACGGAUCUCUUGGCUCU